rnacentral:rRNA from 1 species
AUUGAACGCUGGCGGCAGGCCUAACACAUGCAAGUCGAGCGAGAGGCGGACGGGUGAGUAAUGUAUGGGGACUGCCCGAUAUAGGGGGAUAAGUACUGGAAACGGUGGCUACUAGCGCAUACUAUCGGAUAACCCAUAUGGGAUUAGCUAGUAGGUGGGGUAAAGGCUGACCAAGGCGAAGAUGUCUAGCUGGGCUGAGAGGGUGAUCGGCCACACUGGGACUGAGACACGUCCCAGACUCCUACGGAGGCAGCAGUGGGGAAUAUUGCACAAUGGGCGCAAGCCUGAUGCAGCCAUGCCGCGUGUAUGAAGAAGGCCUUAGGUUCGUAAAGUACUUUCAGCAGAGAAGCGUUACCCGCAGAAGAAGCACCGGCUAACUCCGUGCCAGCAGCCGCGGUAAUUC